rnacentral:rRNA from 1 species
GUGUCAGCCGCCGCGGUAAUACGGAGGGGGCUAGCGUUGUUCGGAAUUACUGGGCGUAAAGCGCACGUAGGCGGACUGUUAAGUCGGGGGUGAAAUCCCGGGGCUCAACCCCGGAACUGCCUUCGAUACUGGCAGUCUUGAGGAUGGGAGAGGCGAGUGGAAUUCCGAGUGUAGAGGUGAAAUUCGUAGAUAUUCGGAGGAACACCAGUGGCGAAGGCGGCUCGCUGGCCCAUUUCUGGCGCUGAGGUGCGAAAGCGUGGGGAGCAAACAGGAUUAGGUGCCCUGGUAGUCCACGCCCUAAACGAUGUGCGCCGGAUGUCGGGAGCCUGGCUCUCGGUGUCGUAGCCAACGCGUUAAGCGCACCGCCUGGGAAGUACGGCCGCAAGGCUAAAACUUAAAGGAAUUGACGGGG